UAGGUGAACACUGAGAAGGCAGAUGCAGC
rnacentral:piRNA from 1 species